CAGUAGCCGCGGGAAUACGAAGGGUGCAAGCGUUACUCGGAAUUACUGGGCGUAAAGCGUGCGUAGGUGGUGGUUUAAGUCCGUUGUGAAAGCCCUGGGCUCAACCUGGGAAUUGCAGUGGAUACUGGGUCACUAGAGUGUGGUAGAGGAUAGUGGAAUUUCCGGUGUAGCAGUGAAAUGCGUAGAGAUCGGAAGGAACAUCUGUGGCGAAGGCGACUAUCUGGGCCAACACUGACACUGAGGCACGAAAGCGUGGGGAGCAAACAGGAUUAGAGACCCCCGUAGUCCCUGUCUCUUAUAC
rnacentral:rRNA from 1 species